UACGGGGGGGCAAGCGUUGUUCGGAAUUACUGGGCGUAAAGGGCGCGUAGGCGGCUUUUCAAGUCGGGCGUGAAAUCUCCGGGCUUAACCUGGAAGGGUCGUUCGAUACUGUCGAGCUAGAGUGUGGAAGAGGCUACUGGAAUUCCGUGUGUAGCGGUGAAAUGCGUAGAUAUACGGAGGAACACCAGCGGCGAAGGCGGGUGAGCUGGGCCAACACUGACGCUGAUGCGCGAAAGCCAGGGGAGCAAACGGG
rnacentral:rRNA from 1 species